GGCCAUCUCACAUUGAAACCCCGGUUCUUGUACGAUCACCGAAGUUAAGCAACGUCGAGCCUGGUUAGUACCAAGAUGGCUUUGGAAAUACUAGGUGCUGUAA